rfam:Asian citrus Psyllid, Diaphorina citri - Florida Strain, whole genome shotgun sequence.
GCCUGGUUAGCUUGAGUGGUAGCGCGUCUGCCUUGUAAGCGUUAGGCCGCGGGUUCGAUUCCCGCCCGGGGCG